rnacentral:rRNA from 1 species
GAUGAACGCUGGCGGCGUGCCUAAUACAUGCAAGUCGAGCGAACAGACGAGGAGCUUGCUCCUCUGACGUUAGCGGCGGACGGGUGAGUAACACGUGGAUAACCUACCUAUAAGACUGGGAUAACUUCGGGAAACCGGAGCUAAUACCGGAUAAUAUAUUGAACCGCAUGGUUCAAUAGUGAAAGACGGUUUUGCUGUCACUUAUAGAUGGAUCCGCGCCGCAUUAGCUAGUUGGUAAGGUAACGGCUUACCAAGGCGACGAUGCGUAGCCGACCUGAGAGGGUGAUCGGCCACACUGGAACUGAGACACGGUCCAGACUCCUACGGGAGGCAGCAGUAGGGAAUCUUCCGCAAUGGGCGAAAGCCUGACGGAGCAACGCCGCGCGAGUGAUGAAGGUCUUCGGAUCGUAAAACUCUGUUAUUAGGGAAGAACAAAUGUGUAAGUAACUAUGCACGUCUUGACGGUACCUAAUCAGAAAGCCACGGCUAACUACGU